UACAGAGGGUGCAAGCGUUAAUCGGAGUGACUGGGCGUAAAGGGCGCGUAGGCGGUUAGAUUAGUCUGAUGUGAAAGACCUGGGCUUAACCUGGGAUGUGCAUUGGAAACGGUCUAGCUAGAGUUUGGGAGAGGGAAGUGGAAUUUCCGGAGUAGCGGUGAAAUGCGUAGAGAUCGGAAAGAACACUCGUGGCGAAGGCGACUUUCUGGCCCAAAACUGACGCUGAGGCGCGAAAGCGUGGGGAGCAAACAGG
rnacentral:rRNA from 1 species